GAAAGUUGGGGACUAUAGGUGAAAAAAUGCGAAACCACAGGGACUAUCCGGGCAUUUUUCUCUUUUUUUAAUUAUCAAUUAAUUGGAGUUAAAAAAACAAAGUUUGUACUUAAAUUGUGCAGGGGCUGCGCGAACGCAAGCCCCCACUGCCACAAAUUAUGAUGUAGGCUCGACCACUUGGGCCAACCUUAGGCGGGCACCCCUCCAAAGUGCAAUGGAGGUCACCAACGUAGGCCAUGGACCUUCUUGAUCACCCAUUGACCCCAACCAGGUAAGUGAGUAAUCUGUUACCUUCUCUUCCUAUUUAAUACACACCUCUUCACCUUCUCUUUCCCUUCAAGUCGAUGUGGGACAAUGGACUAAUGAAACAGAACAUUAUUCUUGUUUCAGUUGUUCUAUCAUCAAAUGUUAUAGUUGAUGAAUCCAUUGUCAAAUGACUUGCUAUUAUGCUUUUAUUAUCUACAAAAUCUUCUGGUCUUCCUUUAGGAACUUCUGUCGAACAUUUGUGUUGAAAGUUCUUAGACACAGCCAUUUCAACAACAAUGUGUAUCUCUAUGUAUAUCACAUCGUUGUUGAUUCAAAAGCAGCUCUUGUUUACACCACUACUUUAUCUGUUUCACCUGCGGCUGCAUAUGUUCAAUAACACAAAAAAAUAGUAAGUUGUAUAGUUAUGCCCUUCUCUGCAUUGCUGCUUGGAAUUAAAAAAUCAAACGCCAUUGCCGGGGAUCGAACCCGGGUCACCCGCGUGACAGGCGGGAAUACUUACCACUAUACUACAACGACUUAUCUGUGAGCUUCGUUUAGAAUAUGAAUUGAAUAUAGUUGUUUUAUGUAAAUAAAAAAGGUACACUAAAAACAUACAUAGAGAAGCAUGAUCAUAGAACGCCAAAGAUAAGAUUCAUCUUCUCUAUUAUAAGCAUCCGGGAUUUUAGAGACUGAACUUGGGUUGAUUCUUGAAAUUGAUGAUUUUGGAAAGAAUAUGAAGUUGCCAUUUUCAAGAUGAUCAUCAUUUUUUGUUGCACGCGGCUUCUUCAUAAGAUCUAGCAGCCUCUUCAGCGAUAUCAAAUGUGCCCAACCAUACUCUUAUGUAUUUAUUUUCACCUAUAUAUAUAAAACUAUCUUUACGUUUAUAAAAGCAAAUAGAGUACAAAUACUUUCAUAUUUUUCAAUAACAUGUAGAAAAAAAUGUGUUCAAGUUGUAUAUUUGUUGUAGUGUUGUACAAAGUUUAAUUAUCGAUGUGAUUAACAGUGAUUGGUUCUAGAUUACGGCUUAUUAAAUGUAAAGAAGUAGGUAAAAUUCCUAGUUUCCACAAUUUGAUGCGUAUAAAAUCCUGCAAAUAUUUCCGAGGCUCAAAAUGUAAGUACAAACUCCAAUUAAAUGCAGAUUAUUGUUACACUGUUCACAUGGAAGCUUAAGUAUAGACAAUCAGAUAAGGCCAAACAUACACAAGUUCAUUUUCUUGUUUCGGGAAAUAACAAUGAAAACAGUAAGUUUGAAAACGAACAGUUACACAGACAACUACAAAACAGCUUAAACUUAAAAAUUGUGCAGAGGCCGCGCGAACGCAGGCCUCCACUGCCACAAAUUAUGACGUAGGCUCGACCACUUGGGCCGACCUUAGGCGGGCACCCCUCCUGAGUGCAAUGGAGGUCACCAACCUAGGCCAUAGACCUUCUUGAUCGUCCAUUGACCCUGUCCAGGUAAGUGAGUAAUCCAUUACCUUCUCUCCAUUUUUAUAUUACACUCCUGGUCACCUUAUCUUUGUUCAAGCCGAUGUGGGACUCUGGACUAAUUAAAUUACUUCCAUCUUACUUUUAUUUUUGAAGGGUGACUUUCUAUGUACAGGACCUAGUGGUCACCGGGUUCUUGUCAAAGACAAUCCCCCGUCAGCCCCGCCUACGGACACGAGGUUCUAUCGGGCCCCGGCGGCCGCACAAACUGUCCUUCGCCCGGAAACCAUACUGCCCUCACGAGAGAACCUCGCUGGGGUAACAACUGGGUAAAAGCGUGUUGCCUAAACGAUCCAUCAUUGGGACGUCCCGCACCUUUUGCUACCGCCGGGAGUCGAACCGGCGUCUACAAAGAGAACACCAGCCCAAUAACUGACCAACUGAGUUAGGGUGGGGGAUUGCUUCCAUCUUACUUAAAUAGAUUUUUUUUAUUAUUGUUAUUAUCUUUCAUAUUUUUCAAGAUCAAGUGACUUAAUUUGCAGUCAAAUGUUUAAGCACAGGCAGUAAGGCACAAAAGCAGCUUCUUAUCUCUGAAGUGAAAUAUGAAUUUGGAUGACAUAAUCACAAACCAUUAACCUUGGACAUUAUUCUAGCGAACAUCGGAGAUUCUCAUUUCUUUAACUUAGUUACACACAAAGUUUUUUUUACUACAUCAGAUCACGUAUUUCAAUCAACCCGUGCAUUGGGAAUCUAGAGAGAAACAGUGAGGAUUUAAGGUAUAUUAUUUGGAAACAGAGAUAGAUAUGUUGUUUCAUGAUUGUUGUGAUAUAAAAAUAUACUCAUAGUUAUUGCAGAUUUGGAGUUAAUAAAAUAAUACAAAAAAGACGAGUUAUAUAUGCGAUUUUCAUCAUGAUUGUAACAUAUUUUCACCUGAACUGGUCGCUGGAUUUUAUGGUCAUUGUUGUCGAAUCAAUAUAGAGGAUUGCGACUUUGAGGAGGAGCUCGGAUCUAGUGAAGGGGCUGCGCGAACGCAAACCCCCACUGCCACAAAUUAUGACGUAGGCUCGACCACUUGGGCCGACCUUAGGCGGGCACCCCUCCGAAGUGCAAUAGAGGUCACCAACCUAGGCCAUGGACCUUCUUGAUCACCCAUUGACCCCGUCCAGGAACUUCUGUAGAACAUUUGUGCCGAAAGUUCUUAGACACAGCCAUUUCAACAACAAUGUGUAUCCCUAUGUACAUCACAUCGCUGUCGAUUUCAAAAGCAGCUCUUGUUUACACCGCUACUUAUUCCCGUAAAAUAUUUUGUUUCCACAAAGUUUUACGUUAUUAUUCAAACACUCUGGAGGUGAAUUGUUUCUGCAUACUUCAUUUCUUUGAUGAAAAAGUUCUUAUUUUGGGAUGUUUUUUUGUAUGAAAAAUGAGUUAGACAUGCUCUUUGAUGAUUGUUGUGGUAUGAAAAAUGAUAAUAUACUAUACUCAUAGCUGUAUAAAUAAUAAUAUGAAGUUAUGAUCAUAGAUAUUACAGAUUUAUUGAAAACUUUGAGCUGAUGAAAUGUGGUUUCAGUAUUAAAAAACUAAUAAACGCCGUUGCCGGGGAUCGAACCCGGGUCACCCGCGUGACAGGCGGGAAUACUUACCACUAUACUACAACGACUUCUUUGUUAUUUUUGUUUAGAUUACCAAUUAAUUUUAAACGUGAAGUGGCAAUUGAUGGGUUGUUGAAGCUUGAAUGAUCAAGGUUUGCAUCUGGUUUGGUUUCAAUGGAGGUUAUAUUUGUUUCUAGGGUUUUGUACUUGUGUUUGUGUAAUGUGAAGCUUGAUGAUGAUCAAGAUUUCUAUGAAAACUUAUUCCUUGUUAUAUAGCUUACUUGGGUA